rnacentral:rRNA from 1 species
CCUUCGGGCGGCAGCAGUGGGGAAUAUUGGACAAUGGGCGAAAGCCUGAUCCAGCCAUGCCGCGUGUGUGAAGAAGGCCUUCGGGUUGUAAAGCACUUUCAGUGGGGAAGAAAGCCUUGGGGCUAAUACCCUCGAGGAAGGACAUCACCCACAGAAGAAGCACCGGCUAACUCCGUGCCAGCAGCCGCGGUAAUACGGAGGGUGCGAGCGUUAAUCGGAAUUACUGGGCGUAAAGCGCGCGUAGGCGGUCUGAUAAGCCGGUUGUGAAAGCCCCGGGCUCAACCUGGGAACGGCAUCCGGAACUGUCAGGCUAGAGUGCAGGAGAGGAAGGUAGAAUUCCCGGUGUAGCGGUGAAAUGCGUAGAGAUCGGGAGGAAUACCAGUGGCGAAGGCGGCCUUCUGGACUGACACUGACGCUGAGGUGCGAAAGCGUGGGUAGCAAACAGGAUUAGAUACCCCGGUAGUC